CCUGGUUGAUCCUGCCAGUAGUCAUAUGCUUGUCUCAAAGAUUAAGCCAUGCAAGUCUAAGUACGAGCUCUCGUACAGUGAAACUGCGAAUGGCUCAUUAAAUCAGUUAUGGUUCAUUUGAUCGUACAGUUUACUUGGAUAACUGUGGUAAUUCUAGAGCUAAUACAUGCGAGAAGCGCCGACCUCGCGGGAGGCGUGCAUUUAUCAGACCAAAAACCGGCCGCGUCUUCGGGCGCGUUCGCCUUGGUGACUCUGGAUAACUUUGCGGAUCGCACGGUCUAGCACCGGCGACGGAUCAUUCAAGUGUCUGCCCUAUCAACUUUCGUCGGUACGGUAUUUGCCUACCGAGGUUCUUACGGGUGACGGGGAAUCAGGGUUCGAUUCCGGAGAGGGAGCCUGAGAAACGGCUACCACAUCCAAGGAAGGCAGCAGGCGCGCAAAUUACCCAUUCCCGACGCGGGGAGGUAGUGACGAAAAAUAACAAUGCAGGACUCGUUCGAGGCCCUGUAAUUGGAAUGAGUACACUUUAAAAGCUUUAACGAGUAUCCAUUGGAGGGCAAGUCUGGUGCCAGCAGCCGCGGUAAUUCCAGCUCCAAAAGUAUAUAUUUAAGUUGUUGCGGUUAAAAAGCUCGUAGUUGGAUUUUGGGCGCAGGGGGCCGGUCCGUCGCAAGGCGUGUACUGGACGUCCUGGCCUUCCCUCCGGUUCUCCGCCGGUGCUCUUGACUGAGUGUCGGCGGCGGCCGGAACGUUUACUUUGAAAAAAUUAGAGUGUUCAAAGCAGGCUCUCGAGCCUGGAUAAUGGUGCAUGGAAUAAUGGAAUAGGACCUCGGUUCUAUUUUGUUGGUUUUCGGAGCGCGAGGUAAUGAUUAAGAGGGACAGACGGGGGCAUUCGUACUGUGCCGUUAGAGGUGAAAUUCUUGGAUCGGCGCAAGACGAACGACUGCGAAAGCAUUUGCCAAGAAUGUUUUCUUUAAUCAAGAGCGAAAGUCAGAGGUUCGAAGACGAUCAGAUACCGUCCUAGUUCUGACUAUAAACGAUGCCAACUAGCGAUC
rnacentral:rRNA from 1 species